GACGAACGCUGCGGCGUGCUUAACACAAGCAAGUCGAACGGUAAGGCCCUUCGGGGUACACGAGUGGCGAACGGGUGAGUAACACGUGGGUGAUCUGCCCUGCACUUCGGGAUAAGCCUGGGAAACUGGGUCUAAUACCGGAUAGGACUCCUGGCUACAUGGUGGGGGGUGGAAAGCUUUUGCGGUGUGGGAUGGGCCCGGGGCCUAUCAGCGUGUUGGUGGGGUAAGGGCCUACCAAGGCGACGACGGGUAGCCGGCCUGAGAGGGUGACCGGUCACACUGGGACUGAGAUACGGCCCAGACUCCUACGAGAGGCAGCAGUGGGGAAUAUUGCACAAUGGGCGCAAGCCUGAUGCAGCGACGCCGCGUGAGGGAUGACGGCCUUCGGGUUGUAAACCUCUUUCAGCUAUGACGAAGCGCAAGUGACGGUAGUAGCAGAAGAAGGACCGGCCAACUACGUGCCAGCAGCCGCGGUAA
rnacentral:rRNA from 1 species